rnacentral:lncRNA from 1 species
CAUCGUUAGCCUUGCGGAUUCCACACUCCUCCUCCAACGCCGUUAGUCAGCCUCCAACACUGGUUCCAACAAGACUCACAUAAAGGCAAAAAUGUUCCUCCUGAUGUGAGGAUGAAGAUUUCCAAUAAGACAGAGUCACUUAAUCCCACCACAAGACACAAGAAACCAAGCAUCUGAAGAGAACCUGCCUCACUAGAGCUGCCCAACUGUCCACAGCUGUCCUGUCCCUCAUGCAGCUCUUCCUCUUUCACCUCAAGUGUGAAGCCAAGGGAAGAACAGCACUGUUGCUGUGUGCUGGUGCUGCUGCCAACAGCACCCAGACCUUCACAGCCAACCCUCCACAGCACACCUCAGACUCUGAACUAACCUGAAUUUGACACUUUCACGGGACAGUUUCCAAGGAAUCCCCCACCUCAAGAGAAGAUGUGGACCUCAACUCAGCCUCGGCAGACAGACACUUCCUACAAGACUAACAUGCCUAUAUGAGAGAUGAAAAUCAAUCUGACCCAAAGUUUAAGGUAAUAAAGGC